UAGGGAAUCUUCGGCAAUGGACGAAAGUCUGACCGAGCAACGCCGCGUGAGUGAAGAAGGUUUUCGGAUCGUAAAACUCUGUUGUUAGAGAAGAACAAGGACGUUAGUAACUGAACGUCCCCUGACGGUAUCUAACCAGAAAGCCACGGCUAACUACGUGCCAGCAGCCGCGGUAAUACGUAGGUGGCAAGCGUUGUCCGGAUUUAUUGGGCGUAAAGCGAGCGCAGGCGGUUUCUUAAGUCUGAUGUGAAAGCCCCCGGCUCAACCGGGGAGGGUCAUUGGAAACUGGGAGACUUGAGUGCAGAAGAGGAGAGUGGAAUUCCAUGUGUAGCGGUGAAAUGCGUAGAUAUAUGGAGGAACACCAGUGGCGAAGGCGGCUCUCUGGUCUGUAACUGCCGCUGAGGCUCGAAGGCGUGGGGAGCAAACAGG
rnacentral:rRNA from 1 species